rnacentral:rRNA from 1 species
UUAGAUACCCUACUAUGCUUGGCAGAAACAAGACCAAAACCAAUUUACCCAGUGGUCCGCCAGAUUAUUACAAGCAAAAGCUUAAAACUCAAAGGACUUGACGGUGUCCCACAUACAACCUAGAGGAGCCUGUCCUAUAACCGAUAACCCACGAAAAACCUCACCACCUUUUGCCAAACAACCUAUAUACCGCCGUCGAAAGUUCACCUUGUGAGGGCAAUAAAGUGAACACAAUAGUUUAACACUAACACGUCAGGUCGAGGUGUAGUUAAUAAGGCGGUCAGAGAUGGGCUACAUUUCCUUUUGAAGGAAAGAACGAAUGAUAGAAUGAAACUUCUACCAGAAGGAGGAUUUAGCAGUAAAACAAGAUCAGCAAGCCUGUUUGAACACAUUGCCCUGGGACGCGUACACACCGCCCGUCACCCCAAUCAACCAAUCUAAAAGACAAGUAAAUUAAAACCUGAAAUCAAAAGAGAUUGGGUAAGUCGUAAC